UGGAGAAUCAUUCGCAAUGGGCGAAAGCCUGACGAUGCGACGCCGUGUGCAGGAUGACGGUCCUAUGGAUUGUAAACUGCUUUUGUACAGGAAGAAACAGUUCUACGUGUAGAACCUUGACGGUACUGUAAGAAUAAGGAUCGGCUAACUCCGUGCCAGCAGCCGCGGUAAUACGGAGGAUCCAAGCGUUAUCCGGAAUCAUUGGGUUUAAAGGGUCCGUAGGCGGUUAGAUAAGUCAGUGGUGAAAGCCCAUCGCUCAACGGUGGAACGGCCAUUGAUACUGUCUGACUUGAAUUAUUAGGAAGUAACUAGAAUAUGUAGUGUAGCGGUGAAAUGCUUAGAGAUUACAUGGAAUACCAAUUGCGAAGGCAGGUUACUACUAAUGGAUUGACGCUGAUGGACGAAAGCGUGGGUAGCGAACAGGAUUAGAUACCCAUGUAGUCCCUGAGCGGGCUGGCAAGGCGCAU
rnacentral:rRNA from 1 species